rnacentral:lncRNA from 1 species
CUGGAUCCUCUCCUUCCCUAACUCUCUCCUUCUCUCUCCUUCUCAAAAUCUGGACAGUUAGAUCAAUCCCAUGGUUUAAAAUUAAAACAGAAUAAAUUAAAAAAUAAGACAAUAUGCUUCUCAAUAUGCUUCUCAUAUCGUGAUUGUGUAUUCGACGACACCACCACCAACCCCAACUUGGACGAUUCUUAUUCACUGUAACUGGAAUGCAGCGGCGGAUACACGGUGUUCGGCGAUGCAACGGCAGUGUUCGACAAUGAAGAAAAAAUGCACAGGACAGGUUUGCGGCGGUAGUCGGCAAUGAGCGGCGGGUUGCCGGUCUCAGAGAUCGAUGUUGGACGGUAUUGUUGAGUUUGAGAAGUAUGACAAUUGAAGAUGAAGAUCUGGCUGCAAGAUCUGGUUUUUAUUACUGUUUUUAGUUUUUUCUUUAAAAACAAAACUUGUUACAGAUAGCAGUAAAACACAUUGCAAAUUAAUUUCACAAUGAGUAAUGAGAGAUUUUGUGAAUGAAUCCAGAGAUUGCAGCCACUAAAUUUGUUGUGGAAGAUUUUCAAAAAAAAAAAUUGCUGUGGAAGAUGAAGGGGAAAAAGGUUUGCUGUGAAAAGAUGCAGGGUAUUUUGUUUUGGAAGAAUCCUCUCAUCCAUUAGAUUGAUCUAACGGUUCAGAUUUGGAGAAGGAGAGAGAAGGAGGUAGUUAGGGAAGGAGACAAUCCGGAUCCCAUAGUAACUAACUAGACUGUUUCUUUUUUUUUUUUGUUCUAUAGAACAAGUGGUGAAUAGUGAAUACCACUAAAACUCACACUGAUUUGGUAAACAUCACCUAAACCAAGUAGAAAUGCAAAUUAAAAUUAAAAUCAUCAUGAAAUGAUACAGAACAAAUAAAUAAACAAAGCUGAAUGAAAAGAAGCAGUGACAGUCAAUCACUUGGUAAACGUUGCCAACAAUUCAUCCAAAACAGAAGCAUCAACAUCAGCAAACAAUUCAAAGGGUUCAUUUGAUUUGGAAGCAUCAGGGUUUUGUUGGCAUAAAGUUGGACAUGGCCAAAGCAUAACAUAGAAUUGAAUGGAAUUUUCUAGAAACUACCCUUCUCAGUUGGUAAACAACAUCAUGGCUUGUCCAUUGCCAGAAAUGCCCCUCCUAAAACUCAUUUAUUUUUUGCUCAAGACGAAGCUCAGAAUGUGAAGGAUAUACAUAUACUAGAUGAAUAUCAAAGGAUUUCGGGCCAGAAGAUCAACAGGGAUAAGUCUGAAAUGGUUUUUAGUCCAAAUACUCUAAGACAAUACAAGGGCCAGUAUACAACAUCACUGAUAGUAUCACCAAGUAUCUAGGACUGCCUACUCAAAUAGGCAGGUCUAAAAAUCAAGUUUUUCAAUUUUUAAUUUAUAGAAUAUGGGAAAAGCUUAAGGGUUGGAAGGAAAAUAAGUUAUCUUUUGCUGGCAGGGGUGUGCUCAUUAGAGCUGUAGCUCAGGCUAUUCCUACAUAUGUUAUGAGUUUCUUUCAAAUUCCUCAGAAUAUAUGGCACCAGUAGUAUAACUUGUCGGCUGUUGAUGACUGAUGCGAAAUGCUUUAUUUAUUUAUUUAUUUAUUUAUUUAUUUAUUUAUGUUUUUAAGCUUCUUUGGAAUCAGCUUAACACUCAACUACAUGUAGACUUCGCAAAGACAUCGUGGGGCAUAUGGCGCAAACAAAAUCUCCAACUUUGUUGGAAUGUGCUCAAAGUGUCCUCCAUUCAUGGCAGCAAGUUCACAACCAUCGUAGCAUGUGUAGAAGGAAUGAAGGAUGUAAUCUCUGAACAAAAUAUUGAAUUACUUGUUUUUUUAUUGUCAUGUUGGUGGUAGGUUAUGCGUGAGUGUAAUGUCUUUUUUUAAUCGAAUUUGUAUUUAAACUAGCAAAUAUUGGAAAUAGAACAUGAAAGAAUGAUUUGAUAGGGUGAAAGAGCAACAAUGAUUGGCAAUUUUGAAUCGAAUUGUAUAUGUUUUGUUUCACCCUCGGAUAUAUCACAUCAUAUUCAGAUGUAUUAUUCGGACCCAGAUUGCUUAGAGUCAUGCAGUUAGGGAACAAUCUGGCCGUCCGUUUAAGAUUUGACAGUUCAGAUAUAAAGAUUUAAUCAAACUAUAUAACUGUUUUAUAUCUAGACCCGCCUGAUUAAAAUUAGACUGUCAGAUUUUCCAUUUUGUCAAAAAAUCCAUGUUAUUCACUUUAGACACAAGUCUUUCAUGAUUUUGUCCUUUAUAAAAGACGUAUGUUAAAUUGAAGAUUGUAUAUUGCAUAUAAACUAUUCUUAAUCUUGACUAUUAAACAAUGUGAGACUUUAAAAUGUACAUUAUUGUAUGCAGUAUGUAUGUCCAUAAUGUUGGAAAAAGCUUGGUUUGGAAUUUUGGAUGCCAGUUGGUUGUUUUCUCAAUGAAAGGAAUGUAAAAGAAAGGGAUGUGGAAAAUAACUAAAUAAUUAGGACCAUUAUAUAUUUUAGGCAGGGAAUUCAACACCAUAACAGCACUAAACUACAAUAGCUAGUGCCAUAACCUACCUAAUAUUUGUUUUGGUGUUCUUAACCUCAUUCAAACUUUAUAAGAACUAACAGUAUGAUUAGAAACAGGCAAGAAUAUGAUGAUAAUCUUGUAGUGAAUAAAAUAUUUCGAUUAUCUAUUGAGAUUGAGAACAAUGAAAGGAACUAUUAUUACAAGUUACAACACAACAACUUGCCACAACAAUUCCAAGGCAUGCAGAUUAUUCAGUUUAAAUGCAUAAUAAUCACUUGUGAUAGUAAAAUGGAAGGUUGCAAAAAGCUUUCAACAACAAUAACACUCAUUCAACUCAACAAAGAUUCCACAUACAAGUUAUUACUUCACAGUGUAUCAUCUAAAUUCUUGAAAGUUAACAUGACCAGUUGCUUGAGCGUGCUCCGCUGCUUCCUGAAUAUAUUCACAGAAAAAUCAGUACUCAAGUCAAGAAUCAU